GCCUGGGUGGCUCAGUUGGUUGAGCGUCUGACUGCGGCUCAGGUCAUGAUCUCGUGGCUUGUGGGUUCAAGCCCCGCAUUGGGCU
rnacentral:tRNA from 1 species